rnacentral:lncRNA from 1 species
CUGUUACCCUCAAUUGAACAAUAGCUGCCUUUGCUAUUGAUAGCCACAAUAAAGACUAUGGGUGCCUCGUAAGUUUUUGGCUUGAGCAAUUGAAUAAGUGUUGCCAAUUUAAGGAAGUGGUAAAGACUAAGGGGAAAAAAAACAAAAACAAGAUUUGGGUGCAAAUCAAGAGUUAUCUUUUGGUUAUGCUGGAGCUGAGAUGCUGUUAUACAUCCAAGAGAAUCUAUAGACAAGUAGGCAGCUGAAUAUUUGAGUUUGAAGCUUGGGAAUGGGGAGGAGGCAGAGCUGAAGGCAUAAAUUUUGAAGCCACUGUAGAUUGAGAUGUCUCAAGAGUCAUCAGCAGCACCAUGUCCUCCAUGUCCUCCAAGGUGGGGAUGACCUUGCCUUUGCUGUGAAAGUAUUCCUGAGCUUCCCACAGAGAUGCUACUGCUGUCUUUGGACAGUUUCUUUGCUGCUGAGAUAAGGAAACGACUCAUUUUCCCGAGGCCUCGUCAGGAGAGAAGGGAGAAGACUUCAAAGGAAGCUGCAACUUUACUGCCUGAACUGGCCCUAAAGGAAUGGGGAAGAGAAAGAUCAGGAAGGGUUUUCUGAGGCAAGAUCCAGAAGCUGAAUUGAAGACCUUAGAUUCUGGGUAAGAAUUUACCUUCCAUUGUUUAAUGGGUAUAGAGUUUCAGUUUGACAGGAUGAAAAGAGUUACAGAGCUAGAUGGUGGUGAUACUUUACCACAUUAUGAAUAUAUUUAAUACCACUGAAAUGCAAGCUGAAAAAUGGUUAAGAUGGUAAAUUUUAGGUAACAUGUAUUUUAACACAAUAAAGAUGGAAAAAAAUUACUUUCCAUAAUUCCUUCUACUACUCUGAGAGAAGAAAUAAUUCUGGCUCCUUCUAAAAUCUGAAAGAAAAGAGAGAAAGGCCGGGCGCAGUGACUCAAGCCUGUAAUCCCAGCACUUUGGGAGGCCGAGACAGGCGGAUCACGAGGUCAGGAGAUCGAGAUCAUCCUGGCUAACACGGUGAAACCCCGUCUCUACUAAAAAACACAAAAAACUAGCUGGGCGAGGUGGUGGGCGCCUGUAGUCCCAGCUACUCGGGAGGCUGAGGCAGGAGAAUGGCAUAAACCCAGGGAGCGGAGCUUGCAGUGAGCUGAGAUCUGGCCACUGCACUCCAGCCUGGGCGACAGAGCGAGACUCCAUCUCAAAAAAAAAAAAAAAAAAAGAUUCAGUGUCCCAAUAAGGCAGAAGGAUGUAGCCAACUACUCAAUUAUUUGACCUUUGUCUUCUUGGACAAAGAAUUUGGCUGAUGGCAUUUUGCCCAACGCUUCUUGUCCUGCAUUGAGCUCCCUCUAACCCAGGGCCUGCUGGUCACUUAGGGCAGCAGGUAUCACACUCCAG